GAUUGAAACAGAUUGUGGCUGAGUGACCGGCCUUUACAAUUUACGUUAACCAGUCGUGGGGAGAGGAGUAGUUUUACAAAGUAGAGUGAAAUUGAAUUAAUUGCCUAAAAAGUUCAUUGACUCAUGGAUCAUAGCUUCACAAUGUAUAACAAAAUAUCCCAGCUUAAGAAAAAUUCAAAGGAGAGGGUUGAAAUUGAUGACCUGAUCAUUCUCACCCAGCUGAUCACUGACUUUCUAUUAAAUACUUUUUAACAAUCAAUCUUUUUAUUAUUAUCCAGUAAAA